CUAUAGUCGAAAGUGCUGAUCGAACGAAUUUUCAUUUGGUAUUAUGGUGCUCAUUCGUUGAAGAAUAGGACUAUUGUGAAUUUCGAUCGCUCGAUGCAUUUACAAUAGAAAAUUUUUCUCAGCUGAUACAGCAAAUCAAAAUAAAAGAAAAACCGAUUGUGUUGAAAUUCUUUGCUAACAACAAUUUUAAAAGUUAAAAAAAAGUAUUUUUUGUGAAAAUGGAGUACAACGGAGUUGUGGUUCGACGAUUCAACGCUCGAUGAAAGAUUAGUGGAACUAGCUAGAUGUAGAAAACAGCUGAGGGGCGCAUCCAACCCCCUUGAAAUGGCUUCCACUGAUUUUUUAAAGAACUUUAGAUUAUCUAAAGAGCCGUUUAUGAACCUACUGUCCAGUACAAAAAACCAGUUGCAGCAGUGCACCCGAGCCAAGAGCUCUUCACUAUUCUCCAAAAAAAGCAAAACAAAUUAUUAAUGUGUGUGCAGCUUUGCACAACAUUUGCUUGUUUUAUAAUGUUCAACUUCCGGAUGAAGAGUUAUCCGAUGAGACCCUCAACGAUGAUGCGGAAGAUAUUGAAGUGGAGCCAAAUAACGGAGAAGCAGAAAACAUAGCAGCAAAAAUCUAAAAAGUAUUAAAUAGAAACCUUUACGCCACAGUUUCUGUUUUAUUUUUGUUAUAAAUUUUCUUUAUUCAAUUAUUCGUCAUUCGAAAAAAAUAUGUAUUUCAGUUCCUCUACGUAUUUCAGCCCAUACCUGCCAAGGGAAAAUAAAAAUGUAUUUCUAUAAACAUUACAAAAAAAAACAUUAUUAACCUUAAUCCAUUUUGCUGCCGUUCUAACUGGUGGUCCCAAGCAAUUCAGCUCCGUUGUAAAUUCCUCGCAAAAUAUUAACAUAUAUUAACAUAUUCCUGCAUAAUAUUAACAAAAUUAGUAUAUAUUUAUUAUUUGGUUACUAUAAAACAAUAAAUAAUCGCAAACAACUUACAUUUUAACAAGUUUUCCCACAACACGCUACACAAUCGAAAGCAAAAUUGCAUUCGACUCUAAAUUCGGUAUACAACGAAAAUUUCGACAGCGUUGCACCGCUCAUAAUACCAAAUUGACAUUCGAUUUUCGAUCUUCGACAACCAACGAAUAUCGAAGAUCGAAUGCAACUCAUAAUAGGGGCCUUAAGUUUCUACGAAAAACAGUCUACGAUGAAUUGGAUGAUAGGGUUGAAUAAAGUCUUUCAUGCUUGCUGUUCGAACAUUGACGAAUUCUCGGAAAAUAGUCUAAAAUCAGUUUUUGUGCAGGAAAAUACCGAUGCUGCGCGCGAAAUGAUUGAGCAAAAUUAUCUAGCCACAUAACGUGAAAUUGAGGCUUCCUUGGGCAUUAGUAUGACGAGCAGCAAUGCUUACCUGGUGGUAGAAAAGGUGUGCUCACGUUGUGUACCACUGAAUCGGCAAAAAGCACCGGAAACGCGACUGAACGAAGUGCUUCGAAAAUUGGUUCAAACCAAUGCAAAGGCCAGAAAUAUAAAUCCAGCCCUCGUAUCAAACACUCAUCAAUAAGAAAUUUUUUAUUCGAAAAUUACAUAAAAGUACAUUUUACACAA